rnacentral:sRNA from 1 species
GUGCGGGCGAAGGCCCACACACUCCUCACACCCCCCGGCCCGGCGCGCUCGGGCUUU